UCAAACAAAUAAUAAGAAUUCUUAAAGAAAUAUUAGAAGGAUCACAAAUAUCACUCAAAUAUAUCUCAAUUCAAUCUUAAUUUAAUUCUAGUUAAAAUCAUAUUGAACAUCAUUCAAAAUUUAGGUCAAAACUAAUUAAAUCUUAAAUCCUAAUAAAAUCCUAAAUCCUAAAUCAAACCCUAAACAAACCUUAAAUCAAACCUCAAUUAAAUCCUAAACCAAA
rnacentral:lncRNA from 1 species